GACAUAGUUGAAUGUUUUGCAAAGGAGAUAUUGCAUUCUGUUCUUCGGGAAAUUGGCAAUGAUGUAUUUUCUUUGUUGGUUGAUGAGUCAAGGGAUGUGGCUGGUAAAGAGCAAAUGGCGGUGGUGUUGCGGUAUGUUGGUAAAUGUGGAAGUGCCAUAGAGACAUUAGUUGGCCUUACUCAUGUGAAGGAGACAACUUCCAAGUAUCUCAAGUCUGCCAUUGAUGAUUUAUUUGCAGAAUAUAAGUUAAGUUUCAAGCAAGUUAGAGGGCAAGGAUAUGAUGGUGCGAGCAAUAUGCGAGUGAGUUUAAUGGCUUGCAAUCCUUAA
rnacentral:rRNA from 1 species